UACGUAGGGUGCAAGCGUUGUCCGGAAUUAUUGGGCGUAAAGAGCUCGUAGGCGGUUUGUCGCGUCUGCUGUGAAAACUGGGGGCUCAACCCCCAGCCUGCAGUGGGUACGGGCAGACUAGAGUGCGGUAGGGGAGAUUGGAAUUCCUGGUGUAGCGGUGGAAUGCGCAGACAUCAGGAGGAACACCGAUGGCGAAGGCAGAUCUCUGGGCCGUAACUGACGCUGAGGAGCGAAAGCAUGGGGAGCGAACAGG
rnacentral:rRNA from 1 species